rnacentral:rRNA from 1 species
GACGAACGCUGGCGGCGUGCUUAACACAUGCAAGUCGAACGGAAAGGCCCCAGCUUGCUGGGGUACUCGAGUGGCGAACGGGUGAGUAACACGUGGGUGAUCUGCCCUGCACUCUGGGAUAAGCCUGGGAAACUGGGUCUAAUACCUGUUAGGACCGUGCUUUAGUGUGUGCGGUGGAAAGUUUUUCGGUGCAGGAUGAGCCCGCGGCCUAUCAGCUUGUUGGUGGGGUAAUGGCCUACCAAGGCGGCGACGGGUAGCCGGCCUGGGAGGGUGUACGGCCACAUUGGGACUGAGAGACGGCCCAGACUACUACGGGAGGCAGCAGUGGGGAAUAUUGAACAAUGGGCGCAAGCCUGAUGCAGCGACGCCGCGUGGGGGAUGACGGCCUUCGGGUUGUAAACCCCUUUCGGCAGGGACGAAGCUUUUGUGACGGUACCUGCAUAAGAAGCACCGGCUAACUACGUG